AUUGAACGCUGGCGGCAGGCCCAACACAUGCAAGUCGAGCGGAUGACGGGAGCUUGCUCCUUGAUUCAGCGGCGGACGGGUGAGUAAUGCCUAGGAAUCUGCCUGGUAGUGGGGGACAACGUUUCGAAAGGAGCGCUAAUACCGCAUACGUCCUACGGGAGAAAGCAGGGGACCUUCGGGCCUUGCGCUAUCAGAUGAGCCUAGGUCGGAUUAGCUAGUUGGUGAGGUAAUGGCUCACCAAGGCGACGAUCCGUAACUGGUCUGAGAGGAUGAUCAGUCACACUGGAACUGAGACACGGUCCAGACUCCUACGGGAGGCAGCAGUGGGGAAUAUUGGACAAUGGGCGAAAGCCUGAUCCAGCCAUGCCGCGUGUGUGAAGAAGGUCUUCGGAUUGUAAAGCACUUUAAGUUGGGAGGAAGGGCAGUAAGCUAAUACCUUGCUGUUUUGACGUUACCGACAGAAUAAGCACCGGCUAACUCUGUGCCAGCAGCCGCCGUAACAC
rnacentral:rRNA from 1 species